rnacentral:rRNA from 1 species
GACAGAGGGUGCAAACGUUGUUCGGAAUUACUGGCGUAAAGCGCGUGGUAGGCGUGCUCUGCAAGUCGGAUGUGAAAGCCCUGGGCUCAACCUAGGAAGUGCACUCGAACUGCAGAGCUUGAGUCUCGGAGAGGAUCGCGGAAUUCUCGGUGUAGAGGUGAAAUUCGUAGAUAUCGAAGAGGAACACCGGUGGCGAAGCGGCGAUCUGGACGAUGACUGACGCUGAGACGCGAAGCGUGGGGAGCAAACAGG